UGUUUUUCUGGAGGAAGAGCAAUAAAGUUCGUGGCCACAGAGGUGCUGGUGGGAUGGAUGCGGUUCUGGAUCUGAGCUCUAAUCACAAUUGCAGCAGCUGUACCCAGAGGACCAGUGCUGGAUCCCCACUCUGGGGAAGGCAAUGGCUGUGCACCCUGGAGCUCAUGUUCACUGGGGAUCUGCAGGUAGAGCCGGAGGUGAACUCAAAGCUCUCUACCCUCAAAGUGGAUCUCUGGCAAGAGGCAAGAACAGGUUUUAAGAAAAGAAGUGAGAUAGGAAGAAGGACUAACACAGAUGACUUUUCCAACUCCAAGACUGGCAUUGCUCUCUUCCCAACUUUUGUUCAUUCAGCUGCACCAGUAGCCAUUCCACUUUGGUGAAUGGAUUGAACAUCAAAUACCACACAUGCUAAGCCAUGUCAUGUGUCUGGAAGACAGAAUAUGGAUUUCAUGUAUUUCUACUUUCUUCUUAAACAAG
rnacentral:lncRNA from 1 species